GGGGUGCAGCAGGCGCGAAACCUCCGCAAUGUGAGAAAUCGCGACGGGGGGAUCCCAAGUGCCAUUCUUAACGGGAUGGCUUUUCAUUAGUGUAAAGAGCUUUUGGAAUAAGAGCUGGGCAAGACCGGUGCCAGCCGCCGCGGUAACACCGGCAGCUCUAGUGGUAACAAUUUUUAUUGGGCCUAAAGCGUCCGUAGCCGGUUUAAUAAGUCUCUGGUGAAAUCCUGUAGCUUAACUGUGGGAAUUGCUGGAGAUACUAUUAGACUUGAGACCGGGAGAGGUUAGAGGUACUCCCAGGGUAGAGGUGAAAUUCUGUAAUCCUGGGAGGACCGCCUGUUGCGAAGGCGUCUAACUGGAACGGUUCUGACGGUGAGGGACGAAAGUUAGGGGCGCGAACCGGAUUAGAUACCCGGGUAGUCCUAACUGUAAACGAUGCGGACUUGGUGUUGGGGUGGCUUUGAGCUGCUCCAGUGCCGAAGGGAAGCUGUUAAGUCCGCCGCCUGGGAAGUACGGUCGCAAGACUGAAACUUAA
rnacentral:rRNA from 1 species